rnacentral:rRNA from 1 species
AUUGAACGCUGGCGGCAGGCCUAACACAUGCAAGUCGAGCGGUAACACAGAGAGCUUGCUCUCGGGUGACGAGCGGCGGACGGGUGAGUAAUGUCUGGGAAACUGCCUGAUGGAGGGGGAUAACUACUGGAAACGGUAGCUAAUACCGCAUAACGUCGCAAGACCAAAGAGGGGGACCUUCGGGCCUCUUGCCACCAGAUGUGCCCAGAUGGGAUUAGCUAGUAGGUGGGGUAACGGCUCACCUAGGCGACGAUCCCUAGCUGGUCUGAGAGGAUGACCAGCCACACUGGAACUGAGACACGGUCCAGACUCCUACGGGAGGCAGCAGUGGGGAAUAUUGCACAAUGGGCGCAAGCCUGAUGCAGCCAUGCCGCGUGUAUGAAGAAGGCCUUCGGGUUGUAAAGUACUUUCAGCGGGGAGGAAGGUGCCGAGGUUAAUAACCUCAGCAAUUGACGUUACCCGCAGAAGAAGCACCGGCUAACUCCGUGCCAGCAGCCGCGGUAA